UACGGAGGGUGCAAGCGUUAUCCGGAUUUACCGGGUUUAAAGGGUGUGUAGGCGGGCUUUUAAGUCAGUGGUGAAAUCUCCGGGCUCAACCCGGAAACUGCCAUUGAUACUAUUAGUCUUGAAUUUUGUUGAGGUAGGCGGAAUAAGUCAUGUAGCGGUGAAAUGCAUAGAUAUGACUUAGAACACCAAUUGCGAAGGCAGCUUGCUAAACAAAUAUUGACGCUGAGGCACGAAAGCGUGGGGAUCAAACAGG
rnacentral:rRNA from 1 species